AAAAAAAUUCUGUGUGAUUUCCAUGGUCUUAUCUGAUGGUGGAAAAGGAGAGUGACAUCGGAUCCUCACGAUCUGCAGGGCAGUCCAGAUAGAUAGUUUGAAAACCUAUUUUCAGUUCCUCCAAGUUUGAAAGUGGAAUGAAGCAGAGCAAGAACAGCCAAAUACCAUGUAGGUGUCUCAUGAUCUCUGAGGCUGGAUCACCAAGGACAUGCAAUCAGUCAGGUUAACUCUUCCAUUCCCAGAUCUUCAGGCCAGCACAGUGGCAGAGAGGGAAUAAGGGAAGAUCCUGGGGCUCCACAAUUCAUUUAUGUUCUUUCACACAAUCCCUGAUCAGUGUUGGAGCUGGAAUCAAGACUUAGGAUUCCCUCUUCAUGGAGAAAGCACUGAUUGCUGGACUGCAAGGCUACACAUCCUCC